AUCAGGUACAUUUGUUGUUAUGCACAUUCAACCUAUUCAUCUAGAUAUUUCAAAAAAAAAAAGGCAACAGUUUUUCUAUAAAGAUAGGAAAUCCUUGCACAUUAGUCUUACAUUUACCCUUGAGGAUAAGAAUUCUUGCUGAUAAGAAGAGAGCUAUAAAAUAUGGAUACCAUGUCUCAAGUAUUUAAGGAUAAAGCGAUAAACAUGCAGAUGGAGCCAUUAAUGAACAUUAAUUGCUUUAAAUUAGGUUUUAUUGUGCAGUGGGUAAAUUGGAAAGUACACAUUUGCAUUGGUAAUAGAAAAUUAAUUUAAAUGCUUCAGGAAGCAAAAUAUCACCUGAUGUGCUAAAACCUGUUAUUUGUGGUAGACCUAAAAGGAAACUUGAAGGGCACUGUGUAUUCAAAUAAAAUAAAAUAAACUAAGCUGGAGGCACACAUAUUUGUGAGAAUCUUCUUAGGUAUAAACCCUAUAUGGAUAUUGAGUUUGUCUAGGCCAAGAAAGGUCCAGAUGGUGACUGGUUUAAUGUUACAUGUUUACUGCACUGUGUUGCCAGAGAGUGGUGGCACUGUAGUGCACUGUGCAACUGUAAAUCUAGGAGUUAGAUGGGCCCUCAGGAGGUAACUGGAUCCUUCCUUCUCCCUCCAGGAAAGACAUGUCUUGAAAUCUUUCAGGACAGAUUGUUGCCUACCCAAGUGUUCGAAGCACUUGGAGGGAAAAUGCUGCACCUUCCUCAAUGGCCCAUUUUUCUAGCCGGAACCCAUCUGAGCUCACAUUGAGGAAGGCUUCCUUUAAGUCUCUUCAACAAUGGCUUAAACUCAUAUCUUCUUAUUUAAUUUCUAAAGAGUUGGUAACCAGGGCAUAUGCAUGGUUUGGUGGUUCUUCAACUUUCCUACUCCUGGAUAGAAGUAAACUUUUUUCUUCUCUUUAGUACUUUUUUCUUUUCAUUUGAUCUUCUUACCAUUGUUUUGCUCUGGAUCCUGCUGUAGAACAGACAGUGUUUAAAAUAGUAAAAAUUCUCUAGUAAAAGAACUACGUAAUAAAGACCCUCUGUUCUAAGGCUAAAGUGGUAGGAAAUUGUCAUUAUAGUUGCUAUAUUGACUUAGUUGUGCAGCUGUUUCUUAAGACAGAGGAGAACAUGAGUGGGUUUUGAGGAAGAAGAGGAAAUUAAGGCUUAAGUAGCCUAAAAUACACUGGUGUGGAGUUCAGGAGACAAAUAGGGGCUAGAAAUUUAAAUUUGAGGACCACCAGUUUUUAGAUUAUUUUUAAAGCCAUGAAAUUGGAUGAGAUGACCUAAGGAGUAAAUGUAAAAAAGUGAAGUUAAUAUAAAAAGUGCCUCAGGGCACUUUGACAUUUAGAAGUCUGAAAAGAGGGACAACUCAGUAAAGAAGACUAAGAAGGAGCAAGGUCAGAGAUAAAAAAGAAAAAUUAGAAGCAUGUGGCAUCCUGGAAACCAAAUAAAGAAAAUGUUUUCAGAAGAUGGGAGUGGCUAGCUGUGUUUAAUGCUGCUUAGAGGUUGAGGUUGAGUGAGAGGAGGUUCUCACUGGCCUUGGCAAAAGCAUUUUUAGUAGGUAAUAGGGACAAAAGUCUGUUUGAGGUAGAUUCAAGAGAGAAUGGCAGAUGAAAAGCAGGGCUAGUGAAUAUAGACAUCUUUUUUGGGAGUUUAAUGUAAAGAGGAACAGAGAACAGGGUGAGAGCAGAGGGGAUCGUGAGAUCAAGAGUAAUUUUUUUUAAAGGCAUGAGAUCUUAUAGCAAGAAUGUAUACUAGCGGGAAUAAUUCAAUAGAAAGGAGAAAUGGUGAUGCUGGAGAGAAAGGAGGUUCCAGGGAGAGGAUGGAAUACAAACCACAAGAGUGGUAUUGAUCCUAGAUUCAUCCAGGGAGAGUUCAUCUAUGGUUAUUGGUUGGAAGUCAGGUUGUAUGAGUACAGAUGAAGGUAAGCCUAGAGAUUUAAUCAAAUAAAAUAUUGAACUGUUCUUUUUAUAUUUUUGAAUUAAAUUUUGAUUUCCUGGAAUGAAAUAUUUUCUUAUACUUUAAGACAAAACAUUGGCCCUUGGAAGAGGACCUGUCCUACCAAAUGGACAAUGACUGGCCAACAGAGAUGGAAAAUGUUUUGCAUCUGUGCAGCCAGAGGUCCUGCAAGUGCUUUCUGCUGGGCAGACACAGCUGUGCUUCUUGGGGGCCUACUGCUGAUAUUCCCCUCUGGCUGCUCCUUGACCAUGUCUCUGAUACCUGGGAUUAGGUCUCCAGUGCAACCAAUGGCAGGCUAUGAAUUUUAGUAGCUUUAGGGAUAGGCUUUACUUUACUGAACACUUAGGGGUAAUGAAAGUACACCACUGGAGAGUAACUUACAAAUAUGACUAGAAGGGACCCCCUCAGCCUAAACCUGACCUCAAGAGAAUUUUUGCUACAGCAGCUGCCUACCUGCUUCCACACAGGUUGGAGCCAGCUAGUUCUCCUCAUUGUUAGGAAUGCUCCAAGUGUCAUCAGAGCUUUGUGUACAGGCUUGGAUGCCUUUACCCCACCCUCCCAAAUUCUUUUGAACCCAAAUCAGAAGGAAGUCUCUUCUCCCUUACAUAUUUCAAAGAUGGCUCAUUUCCUACACCAGUAUUUACCCUCUUCCCAGUGUGAUUGAGAGUGGCAAUUCCCUUCAACUGAAGUUAUGCCCAACUAACUACAAAGAUGUAUCCUGGAUCCAUGUCCAGGAUUGACCUAUGGUAGGACAGUUACCAUAAAUCAGUUGCCAAGUAUAUUCAUGUGCUAGGGCUACUGUAACGAAGCACCACAGACUGGGUGACUUAAAUAACAGACAUGUAUUUUUCUCACAGCUUUGGAGGCUAGAAACUCAAGAUCAGGGUGUUAGCAAGGUUGGUUCCUUCUGAGGGCUGGGAGGAGGAUCUGUUCCAGGCCCCUCUCCUUGACUUACAGAUGGCCUUCAUGUUCUCUUGGUGUUCUCCCUGUGUAUGUGCCUGUGUCCAAAUUUCCCCCUUUUAUAAGGACACUAGUUAUAUUGAAUUAGGGCCUACCCUAAUCACCUCAUUUUAAUUUAAUCAUCUCUUCAAAGACUCUCCAAAUAAGGUCACAUUCUGAGGUAGGAUGGGUUAAGACCUCAGCAUAUGAGUUUUGGAAGGGCAUGAUUCAGUUCCUAACACCGAGUUAUGAUUUAUUCAAUCUUAAAAAUAUAUUUUUAACACACUAAUACCUAAAAACAAAAUAGUGGUUUUAAAAGUUAGAAUAUUGCAUGACAUGAUGAAAUCAAUACUCUCCUGCUCCACCAGCUCCAUCUGCAAUAUUUGCUCCCUAACAGUAGCCACAUUCAAAUAUUUAUUCUUCUGUCAUUUAUUCCCAUAUUUCUAAAUACCAUGCUCAGACUGCUAUUAAUUUUCAUGAUAAAUAUUCUGCAUUGGCUCCAAAGUAUGGAAUAUGAAGAUUUUGCUCUCUUGUGUCUUCUUAUACACAAUACCUGUCCACUCCCAAUACAGAUGUAUUACCAAAUGGUUAGUCAAUGUUUACUUUAUUAUGACUAUGUAUUGUUCACAGCUGAUCCACAAGGACAUCAUAUUUCCUUUCUUGUACUAUAUUUUAUUGUAUGUACAGCUUAAAAUUACUUUGUUACUUUGCUUAAUUUUUGUGCCUGUCACUAAUUCAUCCCCAAACAUUCUCCCAAUAUUUCAAACUCCUGUCAGUAUGGUCAAACAUAGAAGGUCAUCUCAAGAGCCUGCGUGUUUCCUUGGCAACCCCUCUCCAGCAGCCCUCCAUCUCCAACCUCAGCUGUGGACUCCAAGACUAUUUCAUAGUGAUAUCCUGGAGCUUUCCUUCAGAUUCAUCCUUUGAAGUCUGUUCAUUGCUCUCCUAUGUUGGAUCCCCCACCUCCUGGAUCUCAAUCCUUCUUUCUUGGUUGACUCCUUCAUUUUGAUGGGGGCACAUACUCCAACCGCUUCCUGAGAAAGAGGGCAUGGGGGAUAACUGUUUGAAGACUUGGAAUAUCUGAAUAUGACUUUAGUUUACCCUUGUAAAUAACUGAUAAUUCACUUACCUGAUAAUUCACAAUUAUGGAUGGUAAAUCAUAUUCCCUGAGUAUUGUAGAGGCACUCUUUUAUCUUCUUCUAUCUUUUAGUGUUUCUAAUGAGACUCUUGGUUCAGCUUAGACUUUUGACCUUAUGAGGGUGUAUUCAUUUCGUCUGGUUGUUGUAACAAAUGACAACACUGGGUGGUUUAAAGCAACAGAAAUUUGUUGUCUCAUAGUUCUGGAGGCCAGAGCCUGAAAUUAGCAACAUUGGGCUGAAAUCAAGAUGUCAACAGGGCCAUGCUCCUUCCAGGGGCUCUAGAGGAGAACCCUCUCCUUUCUUUUUCCAGUUUUAGGUAGCUGCCAGCCUUCCUACGCUGGUGGCCAUAUCACAUCAGUCUUCAAGGCCAGCAUCUUUAAGUCUCUCUGCUAAACCUUCACAUCACUUUCUCCUCUGUGUGUGUUAAAUCUUUCUUUGCCUCUCUCAUAAGGAGGCUUAUGAUGGCUCUUAGGGUCCGCCUGAUAAUCCAGGAUAAUCUCCUCAUUUUGUGAUUCUUAACUUAAUCACAUUUGCAAAGAUCCUUUUCCCAAUUAAGAUAACAUUUACAGGUUCUAGAAAUUAGGAACCGAUAUCUUCGGGUAGCUAUUAUUCAGCCAUAUAUAGGAAGUAAACUGGUAUUUCAUUCCUUUUAGCUGUUAGAAUCUCUUCUCUUUGAAAUUUCAAAAUGAAGUGUUUAGUCUUCAUCAAUCAUUUUGUUUUGUAGGCAAUUAGAGGGCAAUUUAAUCUAUAAUUUCAUGUUCUUUAUUUCAGGGGUAUUUUCUUUAUUGAUUUUUGAACUUAAUUCUCCUAUAUUUUCCCUGUUCUCUUUUUAAAGAAUUCCUCUAGUCAGUUGUCGUUUUUCCUGGGUUCUCCUAGGUGGAUUCCCUAAUUCACUUAAAUCUUCUGUUGUGUUUUCUGUUUCUUGAAUUUUUUGUUCCAGUUUCUGAGAUAUUUCUUCAAUUUAUCUCUUCUAACCCUUCUGCUGAUAUUAAAAUGUUAUUAUCUAAUUUAGUGUUCUUCCUUAUGCCAUCUCAAUUCUUGUUUCACGACCACAGUAUUUUUUCAUUUCUUAGGCAUGAUUAUUUAAAUUAGAUUUUGAACUUUCUGUAUCAUCUUUUUUUCCAAGUACUUUAAAAAAUAUAUUUUUUCCCCUCUUUCUUUCAUUUGAGAAGAUUGCUUCAAAUGUCUGGAUAUUUGCUUAUAUUUCACGGUGAGGUGAUAAAAACUUAAAAGCCAAUCACAAUGUGAGUCAGCAUUUUUGCUGGGUGAUAUGGUUUGUAUUUGUAUCCCUACCCAAUCUUGUGUCGAAUUGUAAUCCCCAUUGUUGGAGGAGAAUGGGAGGUGACUGGAUCAUGGGUGUGGCUUCCCCUUGCUGUUUUCAUGAUACUGAGUGAGUUCUCAUGAGAUCUGGUUGUUUGUGGAAACGUCUCCUUCCCUUUCUUUCCCCUGCUCCCCCCAUGUAAAACAGGCCUGCUUCCCCUUCACCUUCCGCCAUGAUUGUGUGUUUCCUGAGGCCUCCCAAGCCAUGCUUCCUGUACAGCCUGUGGAACCGUGAGCCAAUUAAACCUCUUUUCUUUAUAAAUUAUCCAGUCCCAGGAGGUUCUUUAUAACAAUGCAAGAACAGACUAAUACACUGUGAAACCUCCAAAGGUCAAUUUCUCCAGUCUUUUUUUGUUUCAUAUAGGUGGUCCUUCUCAGAGAGGAUUUAAUCCCCCGGGCUUCUCCUGGGGGUGUGAGCCAGGCUACUAGCACUCUGGGAACAGGGGGAAGUUAAGGGGCUAGGAUUCUCCUUCAUGAGCCGACUCUCACAUCGUCCCUCUAUUAGACGUUUCCUCCAUGGCCCUCACAUGGACUCGUUGUUGUUGAGUUCGCCUCACUGAUUCAUUCUCAGCAGAAAGUAAAUAUCCCUUAUUCAGCUGGGGGAUGCUGGAGACACAUGGAACCUCCAGUUCUGAGCCUUUUUGUGAUUCUGCAGUGGUCCACUGCUCACUUCUUCAUCUAGCCCUAUCUCUGUUCCUCCUCCUAUGCGUCAUACACUUAUGUUUCAGCUCUGAUUUCAAAAAUUGUGUUGAUGCCUGUCACUUGCUUUGGUCUCCUCUCACAUUCUCAAGAGAAAGAUUUUUGUGAGUUUAUGCCCUUUUCAUCCCUUUACAGUUCUCUCUGUCAUGUUUCAGGAGGAGAGAUAAAUGCAUGGCUUUCACUUACUAUGUUUAACAUUAGUCGGAAAUAACAGUAAAUGCAGUAGAUCAUCCAUUCCAGCUUUUGCUGUGCUGUGCUCAGUCUAAGUUCAGGCCUGCAAACCUUUAUUACAGGAGUCCAGUCUCCACUCCUGAUCUUUGAAAAGCUAAUGUUUGGACAAGAAUGCGAACAGAAACGAAACAUAAUAUACAUGCACAAAUACACCCACUCUCCCAGUAUGAAUUAUAGUUUUAAGUAUAAAUUUAAUUUUAAAAUUUAGAUCACCCUAAAUCUCUAUCUAAACCCAGAUUUAGAGAAAAUCAAGAACUACAUUUUCUGAUUUU
rnacentral:lncRNA from 1 species